rnacentral:rRNA from 1 species
CCAAACUGUUGCCUCGGCGGGGUCACGCCCCGGGUGCGUCGCAGCCCCGGAACCAGGCGCCCGCCGGAGGGACCAACCAAACUCUUUUCUGUAGUCCCCUCGCGGACGUUAUUUCUUACAGCUCUGAGCAAAAAUUCAAAAUGAAUCAAAACUUUCAACAACGGAUCUCUUGGUUCUGGCAUCGAUGAAGAACGCAGCGAAAUGCGAUAAGUAAUGUGAAUUGCAGAAUUCAGUGAAUCAUCGAAUCUUUGAACGCACAUUGCGCCCGCCAGUAUUCUGGCGGGCAUGCCUGUCCGAGCGUCAUUUCAACCCUCGAACCCCUCCGGGGGGUCGGCGUUGGGGACCUCGGGAGCCCCUAAGACGGGAUCCCGGCCCCGAAAUACAGUGGCGGUCUCGCCGCAGCCUCUCGUGCGCAGUAGUUUGCACAACUCGCACCGGGAGCGCGGCGCGUCCACGUCCGUAAAACACCCAACUUCUGAAAUGUUGACCUCGGAUCAGGUAAGAAUACCCGCUGAACUUAAGCAUAUCUAUAACCAGAGGAAACACGUGCUGAAUUUUAUUAUAUCAAUAAGGAGGAAGAGA